AUACGUAGGUGGCAAGCGUUGUCCGGAAUUACUGGGUGUAAAGGGCGUGUAGGCGGGAGUGUAAGUCAGAUGUGAAAACCCGGAGCUCAACUUCGGGAUUGCAUCUGAAACAAUGCUUCUUGAGUGCUGGAGAGGAAGGCGGAAUUCCUAGUGUAGCGGUGAAAUGCGUAGAUAUUAGGAGGAACACCAGUGGCGAAGGCGGCUUUCUGGACAGUAACUGACGCUGAGGCGCGAAAGCGUGGGGAGCGAACAGGAUUAGAUACCCUGGUAGUCCACGCUGUAAACGAUGGAUACUAGGUGUAGGAGGUAUCGACCCCUUCUGUGCCGGAGUUAACACAAUAAGUAUCCCACCUGGGGAGUACGGCCGCAAGGUUGAA
rnacentral:rRNA from 1 species